rnacentral:lncRNA from 1 species
CGGGCCAAGCACAAUACUAUAACUCUGAACAUAUAACAUAAUAUCAUUAAGCAAUACAUCUCUUUUUACAUCAAUACAUAACCUUACAUUACAUCAUGUCCACUACUAUUCUAUUACAUAAACAUGACCAUGGACGUAACCUGCUGAUCUCCUGACUAUCUCUGACCCUGCAAACCUGGGGUUAGGGGAGAGGGGUGAGCUAAAAAGCCCAGUGAGCAGAAACCAUAAAAGAAAA